GGGGGAAUAUGGCACAAUGGGCGAAAGCCUGAUGCAGCGACGCCGCGUGAGGGAUGACGGCCUUCGGGUUGUAAACCUCGUUCAGCAGGGACGAAGCGCAAGUGACGGUACCUGCAGAAGAAGCACCGGCUAACUACGUGCCAGCAGCCGCGGUAAUACGUAGGGUGCAAGCGUUGUCCGGAAUUACUGGGCGUAAAGAGUUCGUAGGCGGUUUGUCGCGUCGUUUGUGAAAACCAGCAGCUCAACUGCUGGCUUGCAGGCGAUACGGGCAGACUUGAGUACUGCAGGGGAGACUGGAAUUCCUGGUGUAGCGGUGAAAUGCGCAGAUAUCAGGAGGAACACCGGUGGCGAAGGCGGGUCUCUGGGCAGUAACUGACGCUGAGGAACGAAAGCGUGGGUAGCGAACAGG
rnacentral:rRNA from 1 species